CCUACGGGAGGCAGCAGUGAGGAAUAUUGGUCAAUGGGCGAGAGCCUGAACCAGCCAAGUCGCGUGAGGGAGUACUGCCCUAUGGGUUGUAAACCUCUUUUGUCGGGGAGCAAAAGCCGGACGUGUCCGGCUGUGAGAUUACCCGAAGAAAAAGCAUCGGCUAACUCCGUGCCAGCAGCCGCGGUAAUACGGGGGAUGGGAGCGUUAUCCGGAUUUAUGGGGGGUAAGGGGGGCGUAGUUGUCAUAGUAAGUCUUUUGGAAAAUUGCUGGGCUAAACCCAGUAGGGCAAAAGAAACUGGAAGACUAGAGUAUGACAGAGGCAAGUGGAACUACAUGUGUAGCGGUAAAAUGCGUAAAUAUAUGUAAGAACACCAGUGGCGAAGGCGGCUUGCUGGGUCGAUACUGACAUUGAGGCACGAAAGCGUGGGGAGCAAACAGGAUUAGAUACCCUGGUAGUC
rnacentral:rRNA from 1 species